rnacentral:misc_RNA from 1 species
UGUCGCCCAGCAUUGUUACAUCCGCUGUCUUGUUGACAACUAACAGCGGCUGACUAAUUAUCCCGAGUUAAUGACUACCGAUCGCGCCGAAAACGCUAGAUUAAUCCUUAACGAAGUUGACAAUUAAUCGUAGCCAGCCAUUCUCUCUGCACCAGUGCGCACACAUACACACACACACACACACAUAUACAUACACAUGCACACACAUGCACGCAUGAGAGACUGCCACGCGAGACACCGCCGCAAUCGAGCGAUCGCGAAACGACGAUCGGCGACGAGUGCAGAGUGCGCGAUAGCGCGUAUCGCCACGUUCGCGCGUCUCUUCACGCGGAUUCAAACAACAGGAAUGUCGACAUACCUAUUACGUUGCGCACGUGACUUCACGCAGGACACGUGUCGUUUGACAAAAUGAACGGGACACAUCGGUAGUAAGGGGGAGGGGUUAGCCGUUACGAGACGGAUCGAUGUUCGUAGUCCGCCGUGCGACGAAUGACGCGGUAAUCACGAGCCCCCACAUGUGUGACGUCGUGCGGUGUGUGACGCGAUUAAAGAGCGAUCUGUCGCGAACGCGAGCGAGGAUGAUUCCGCGCGCCCGUUUCGCGACGCCGCGAGAUGCCAUCGACGGCUGAGAAUCAGCCGUCGGUUACGCAGCGGUUACGCGACAGCUCGACGCCGUGUGAAGUUCGCCACUCUGAGGAUGCGUCGUCGCGGCGCGUACUACACCCAGGGCUGCGCGGCGCGGAUUUUGAACUCGAUAUCAAAAACACAAUGUUUAACAAUGAAGGAGGGUCUAAACUAAGCAGUGACGAAGCAAAAUCAACAAUUAUCGAAUUAUUUCCCUGGGUCUCAGAAUUUAAGAAAAUGUGCAAAUGUAUAUACGCAGACAAAAGUAUGGCUUCUUUGGCAGAGCUUAUGCAGUACUAUAUCAGAAAUGUAAGUGUCAGUGUAAAUGAAUGUUAUACAAAGCCAUUAAGAGCAGCAAAGUUGAAGGAUUCUAUUAGUGAAACCUUACUUUUGUUCUUAUAUAUCUACCGUGAGCUUUCUGAGGACCGCAAUAGAUCAAUUUAUUUAAACAACAUGUCCGAUUUAUUAGCAAUGUACAUAGAUAUGGAAUUAAAAGCAUCAAGAAAAAGUAAAGAAGAUCAUAAUAGAAUUUGUACAAGACUUACUUCUUGUCUUUAUGUAUAUUUAGAACAUUCCACAGAGCAUUUGUUAGAUACUUUGAUAAAAACACAAUUUAUGUGCCGGGGUUAUCAUCGUAUUUUAGAUCCGAUAAUAACAAAAGUAAUUAAAAAUAUUCCAGCGCAUCCCGAAUCCAAUUUUAUGUACGUUCGUUAUCUUCUUAUUUAUUGUCUUUGGAGAAAGGUAAAUAGCGAUAUGGCCGUGAAAAGUCAAAUUACCACAACCGCAAUUGCCUCACUGGGAGCACCACCAACUACUUUCCCACCGUGCGUGUUAGAAGAUGUAUUACCAAAAGUGCCAAAGUGUCAACCAAACUCAGCAAAAUAUCUAAUGCAGCAGAAAUUCGACGUAAGAAAAUGUUGCGAAUUAUUUGUACAGUGCUGCAAAGAAAGCAGAGGAAGUAUGUGUCAGGAAAAAAAUGAAAAUGCAGCUAUUACUCCAAGCUCAUCCAAGAGGAUCACUUCACAACUGUUGGUAGUUACAUCACGCGAAGACGAAAAUUUCGGUCGUAUCGAAAACAAUUUUAAUGUUGUUCCCUCAGACAAAAGUGUGCAAAAUACCUCUGUUUCUUCAGAUAAUUUAAAACCGACAAAUCUAAUAACAGAACAGACAAACGUUAAACCUUUAGGCACAAUUUCCACAAAUAUCUCAGUAACACGGACUAUUUCUAAACCGAUUAAACCGAAAGUUCUUCCUCGGAAGAAAGCUAAAAAAUCUAAUAAAAUUGUAAUAAUCGAUCUUACAACUGACAUCGCUUUUGAGAGAUGUAUAAAGAAAAGAAAGUCCAGAAAAGUCGCAUGGCUAGAGGAAGCUAAGAAGAAACUCGAUGCAAAGACGAUCAGAGCAUCGCAGAAGAUCAAGAAACAACAGAUGGCGGGGAAUGUGAACUCCGUGAAGAAGGUGACUCUCGGUCAGCAGUUGGAAGAUUUGCUUCAAUCUGUACACGCCACAGAAAAUACAUGCUUGAAGAAUGAUUCGGGUACAUCCAUACAAGAGACAAGAUUGGAUAGCGAUAGAGUAAAACAUUUGGAAGUAGAAGAGAGGAGGACAUCAUUUAAUGAUAAUAACGCAGAAUCGGAGAAACAAUCGGUGAUGCGGGACAGCAGUGACGAAAACGAGAAUGUUGGAACGCCCUGUACAGUCUCUUCUUCUGUAAUCGUUGGUAGACCACAGUCUAAUAAAUCUAAAGUUUCUACAAAUUCAUUAUUGGAUGUUUCAAGUGGCACUGAUAACGUUAGCAAGUGUCACGAUGUUAACGCUAUUUCGAAGGUAAAGACAGAUGAGAAAAUAAACGAUAGAUUUAAUAUACAGACUGUGAUUAAACGACUGAUAGAAAAAGACACUACGAAAAAGCCUGAAAGUGAAACAUGUAAAAGAGUUGAAAGUUUACGGAAAAUCUGUGAUUUAGGAACGGAGCACUCUAAAACUGUAAAUAGUCCUCUCGCGUUAUGUGCCCAAGGUGAUUCCAAAGAUGAAGAUGAUAGUUGUAAUCGUAACGCUAACUAUCCUAGUAUAGCUAAAGAUAAAUUAUCGCCGCAUGUAAUUUCGUCACUGGUACAUACGCAUCACAGGAAUAACGAGAAGGACGAAGCAAGUGACUCGGAUGGAAAAAUGCAGCAGGAUAUCAGCGGCGACGACAGAUGUGCGACGCAGAAGGUUACUACUCGUGAGACGACGAACGAUGAGACGCAAUGUUUGAGACCGAGCAGAAUCGACGGCGGAUCAGGCAAGGGAGAAGAAUGUGCGGUUUCCGCGACGGCGGCUGAGACUCGUUUCGUAACAACCGUAAGUAGUGCGGAAAUGCUAAUAAGUAAGGCGGUAGAAUCCGAGGAGCUGCGACAAGCACGCGUUACUGCUGAAAAUACAAAGCAACCAAAGGAGCCUGAAUCUCAAGAUAAAUGUGUAUUAGCGGGACACGAUGUUGCGAAUAAUACCGUAAGACUUAGCGUAAUGAAUGGAGACCAUUCUAAUGUACAAACAGAUUUAGAAGUUGGUAUUUGCAUCGAGGUAAGCGACGACAUAAGGGAUAACAAAUCCUCUAACCGUAAAACCAGAGAAACUAUUUUUGAAAACCGCGCGACCGAUAAGAAGAAUAUUUCUAAUAUCGUCAACUUGUCACUGUGUUCAAAGAAGGAUGGAGUCAAUGGCGACAAAAGUACCGAGCUGAAGGCAAAUCGGAAGGAGAGCGCGGAGAUCGAUUCCAACGGGAGUCGCGGCGAAGAGCGUACCGCGAAGAAUCCAGUGAGAACAUCCGUACUAUGCACGAAGCUUGGGAAGAAUCUUCGCGACUUCGACCAGUCGCGCAACAAUCGCAAAUUAACGAAGGAAACGUACGGCAAGUCGUGCAAGAUAUCAUCAUCACACGCGAAGAAUGCGCGAGAUUCAUCGGACAAUCGAUGCAUCAUUCAGGAUACGGAAUUGCAGGACAACAUAGACGGGCUUUCGUUAUUGGCCAGUGUGUCGCAGCACGUGUCUCAUUUGAAAACCGAGCGUGAGCUAAAAUGCGAUCAAAUCAAAGUCAAGGAUUACGCGUCGUUGAGGAGCUCCCCUUACAGUCAAUCCACCGACGACGACGCCGACACCAACGACUCGUCGAACACGGUUUCGCGGAUUCUGGAGAAUCCAUCCACCGAGGUCAUCAACAGAAUAGUCGGGAUUUAUCCGGAGGACGCGUUGGACAAGGUAGCGCUUCACGUGGAGGUCACAUCGACGACCGACCUGAGCCCCGCCGACGACUGCGAGAACGAUCCGAGCAAUAGCAGCGUGUCGCGUGUCGUCGAGACUGCCAUCAACUACGAGACCACGGACGCGUUGUCCAACAACCUGAGUAUAGCGGAGAGCAAUGUGCAGUCGAUCAAGGAGAAUACAAACGUCAUAUUAAACGGAGAAACGGUCGUGCUAUUGAAGAAGUCUCCCAACAGCAAUCUGUACACCAUCAAUAAGGCGUACGACGAGAGUCGUCUGAUGAAAGAUAAGAGCUGGAUGGUCCCGCCGGAGGAUUGCGCAUCGUUCGAGGUCGUUAACACAUCGGAGCACAUUUCGUUCAAUUUGGAUCUGCCCCAAUACAAGGACUUGGCGCUAUCGUGCCAAGAGAAUAAGUUCGCCGUCGGGAGGAACAAAGGCAUAAAGAUCGAGCCGGAGGAGGAAGGCAGCCUGAUGAGUAUCGCGGAGAUGAAGCCUUACGGUAAGAAGGGUCCUCUGUCGGGCGACGUGUUACCCGCGACCGCGCCGCAGAUUUAUCAGGAUACGAAUGUCGCGAGCGUGAGCGUCAGCAAGUCGGUCGACAAACGCAAGUCCAAGUCCAUCCUCGCUUACAGGCAGAAUAUCAAGCAAGAGUUCAACAGCCACAUCACGCCGAACUGCGGUAUACAGGGCUGCAACGGGAUACACUCGCAUCCGCACGAAGUGAUCGAUCCGCAACAUUCGUUACAUAUCCCGGUCAGCCAUCCCACGACGAUACCGUCGAUUUACGGUAACUGCGCCGCCGGCACCGACCUGUGUAUGCCGUAUCACAAGCACUGCACCUCCGUGUCGUGUAGUUUACAAAUUAAUUCUACUACUUCGCUCCAUUCCCACACGAAAUCCGCCAAUUCGUGCGGCAGGUCGCAUCAGUGCUCGUGCCUCAAUUGCACGUACGACAUAGUCACCCAUUGUAGACAGUGUAUACAUCCCGCCACGGACUCUCACGUGUCUUGUAUCGAAAGUAAUUCUUAUUUUUUGCCCGCGCACUCGUCAGUACAAACGUCCGCCGUCCAAGAACACGAUAGGACAAAAAGCGAAGCGGUAAUAGGUAAAUUGUAUGACGAUCAGAUAUUAUGUAAGAUAGAGCAGAGAGUACUGCAGAAUAAUACUCUGGAGAAGCUGGACGUGCAACGCGAGCCGGAGAAGUUAUUCAAGAAGGACAUGGAGAACAAGCUGCCGUUGAAGAAGAGAUUGAAGGCCAUGAUGUCCAUGGCGUAUGAGAAGGUGCCCAUCAAAGCGGAGAAGAUGGAUAACUAUCCUGGAAUACCCAUGAUGUCCAUAGCCGCCUUGGAAGCGCUCGACGGCACGCAGAAGCAUCCCUCGCAGAUCAUCAAGUCGACGUACGAACUAUCUCCUAACGAAGAGGAUGGUCCGCAUGGCAGCUAUCAUUUCAAUUCGAACGGAGAGAUAGUACGGAGAGAUUACUAUAAGGAUAUGCACAUCUCUAAUGCACAUCAUAAUCUUACGAAGGAAAGUACAAGGAGCCACGAGCGCCAGUUUCGGUCGGCCGGUGAUCAGUCUAAUGCAGUGUGCCUAGAGACUUGUCAGGACAGGAUGUUUAAGACACCCACGCAGCGCAGAGACGUGACGGUGAUGAAUCCAACGUCCAUGAAGCGUAUAACGACUGAGACGAUGGAGCAGGAGGAGCAGGACGGCGCGUGCAAGAAGCCGAAAAAAACGCAGUCAUCCAUUAGACAAACGAGAAGCUCAAAGAGAAACGUUCCUAAGGUAAAUUAUUGUUACACCGAUGUCGAUCCAGAAUGGAAUCCGUCCGGUGAGUCAAAACGAAGACGUAAGAAGACUAGUCGAUGAUCGAUACUAUUUCAUUACGAGAAGUCACUGCUGUAAAAAGAACGAAGGGAAAGAAAAGAUGGAAAAAAAGAAAAAGAAACGAGAGAACGAAAAGAAAGCGAACGUAUAAAAUCUGUACAGCGGGCAAAUGUGUUCUUCGAAGUUGCGGCACUGUAUAUCUGUGUAAAUAUGUGUACAAAGCGCAAGUGAAAAUAACUCGUCCUAGGAAGAUCUAGAAAUAGACCGUUCAGCGUGUUCAACAUUAUCGUCGGUGAAGAGUUAGACUAGCUACAUAGAAUACCUCUGCAUAAAAUAUUUUUGAUGUUUGGUUAGAUAUCGCUAGAGGCAAGCCGUAGAGAAUUUUAUUCCGUUAAAUAUCAUCUCUACCUUGCGAAACUGUACAUUAAUAAUCUAUAAGGCUUUGUAAGAUAUUAAAUUUAAAACUUUAAUGUUUUUCCUAUUGUCACGUGGUUGCAACAACGUCCAAAUGACGUCGCGAACGAUCAUUUUCCUCUGAACAAGUUCUUUUGGAUUCUUGUAAAGUAUGAUGAAAAAAAUUUCUAUAUAAUUCUCCGCGUAUAAAUAUGUAUAUAUGUAUGUACAUACAUAACCAAUGCCAAACAAACUUACGGAAACGUAUUUUGAAGUGAUAUCAUUUUUGAGUUUCCUGAGGAAGACAAAUUUAGAUUCAGGAACGUAAUACGACCAGGUUGACGAUUGAAAGUUAAGAAUGUAUAAAAAUCCAAAAUUCAAACCCCUCGAAGAACAGGAUGCACAAUGUAUCAGGAGCAUGUUUGCAUAGAUUAAUUACCCACUUAUACUUGAGUAACUUUGGGCAAGUGUUUAAUGCGAGCACAUAAUGUCAAUAAAUUCGCCAAAUGGUGCAAAAUUGUUUGUAUUGCCGUACAAUUAUAGAAACUGGAAAUGUUUAAUUUCUUCCACUUUGUAAUCUGUCCUCUUAUUAUAUAUAGAGACGCAGCCCUAUAUAUUAUAUAUCGAAAAAAAAACUAUUAUUUAAUGUAAACUUACAUACAUACAGGUACCUAUCAAAACAAGUAGAGUAGCUAGUCAGCCGAUUCGUAAUAACAAAACAACUUCAGGUUCACUUCUCGGUGAAAAAAAAAAGGAGAGAUAGUAUGCUACGUAAUUGAAAGUAUCCCAUAUAUUUUUCUUGUAAUACGAGUAUCCAUCUUUUGUUAAAGAAAUACGAAAUUCGCGAGGGCGCGGUAUUCUAAAACUAAAAAUGACCUAAUCGAGCUUGAUAAAUAAAAUGAAAAUACUGAGGCAUGCAAGGAAAAAAUGCACAAUUUAGAUAUCGUAUAGUUACCAAGAUAGAAAAGCUUUACAACUAGCAGGCAUCGUAUAGCUUGUUCCUACGUAAUUACUCAGUAUUUCAGUUCAUACGAUAUGUCUGGAAACUUGCUUUAAGAACUGAUUGACAUUAAUAUACGGCAUUUAAUUAAAUUAUAUUGAAAAUUUCAACGUCUCUCUCUCUCUCUUUCUCUCUCUCUCUCUCUCUUUCUCUCUCUCUCUCUCGCGAUUGUGCGAGUUAAUUUUCUUUUUCUUUUUCCAGAUCAGACGAUAUAUAAUUUUUUAAAUGCUGUAUAUUACACCAUAUACAUAUGGUCUUCUCAUGGAAACAUUGCUCACGCUUAUUGAAUUGUAUUGAACUUAUAUCCUAUGUUAAUGGUUUUCAGAGCAUCUAUUACUAUUAAAUACUCUGUUUUUGUUAUAACGUGUAUCUGAUCUGAAAAAAUUAAGUCAUAUGCAGUCCCUCUGUGUUAAACCUGAACCAGUCAGCAUCAUUAUUAUUCUUGUACGAGUGUCCCGAUUACAUGUUUGAUUAUUUCAAGAUAGAUUUGGUUCGAGUAAUGCAUAACUUCAGUGCCAUAUCCCUAUACCUGAUCUCAUAUCUGUGAUCAUUAGCUAAGCAGUAGCUAACAUUUUGUUGUACAAAAAGGAAAUGUACCUUGUUAAGUAGUCUACUCGAUAGAUUACUUGUCAUUGUCACACUUGUCAUUGUUAUACACUUUAUUCGCCUUCGUAUGAAACUGAUUGUAGUUAGAAAAUUUUUAAUUGUAGAACGCUCUAUACCUCUUACGUUUUUACCGCAUCGUUAUUCUCUUAUUUUCGAGAAUCUUAAACCCGCUAUUAUAUUUCCCAAACUUGACUGACAAAGACGCGUGAAAAUGUCCUUUUCAUUACUGAAUGUGUGUUUCUUAUUGUUACUAUUUAUUUAUUAAUUUACAAUGCGAUAAGUCUGAUAGGCUUAAGUUUAACACAAAUAAAUUUAUUAAGUUACUAUAUAGCUAUAUAAAUAAUUAGUUCAUCAAAAUUGCCAAAAGUCUUCAUACAUAUGGAUUGAAUAUAAAUAGACCAUUACUCAUAAAUAAAAAUUAUUGUAACGCAUGAAGCAUUUAUUAAGGAAAGUCUAACAUCUUAAACAUUAAUCGAGUUAAUAUAGUAAAAUAUUUUACAUCAGAUGCCUCAUUAAUUCGUGUUCAUCAAAAAUUCAGUAUUGUGUAUGCGUAGAACAUCUUUUUCGUAAUGAUAAAUAAACCUGUAUUUACCUAUAUAUUUGUACAUUAUGUGCAUUACAUAAAAUGUCGACUGCAUAAGAUCGAGGUAAAUAUACUGCAUGUGAAAAUACUAAUAUAUUUACCUCUGUUAUAUACUCAUCGGAACUAUAUUAGAUUCACCGCUAUACCUAUGAAAUAAGGAUAGAAAUAUUAGAGAAACUCUCAACAGGGUAAACAUUAAUAUGCUUUUGAUGCUUGCACAGCAUCGGGUUCAUUAUAUUUUACAUAAAUAUGUAUACUUACUAAUUAAAAAAUAGAAUAUAGUAUACCUCUGAACAGGGUAAAAGCGAAAAAUACUCCGCCGGCUUAUGUCCAUUAGAGUACACGUAAUGAUAGAUACUUCCCUUCAUUAAAGACAUCACUCUUUAUAGGGCUCACUAUAUAAAGAACUAUAAUUUCUCUCUCCAUUUUUAGUAAAGCGCAUGUUUAUCACACUAACAAACAUCACAUUCGUCCGAGACUUGUAAAUAUAUUUUUGUGUAUACGUUAAUCGCGCGCGCGCACA